rnacentral:lncRNA from 1 species
UUAUCUGUAAAAUGGGGAUUAUAGCAUUCCUGCCUCAUAGGGAUGUUAUGAGAUUUAAAUACCAAUAAGUCUGUACAUUAUAAACCUUAUCAGAUUGGUGUGGUGAAAAUGCUCAGUAACUGAGCCUCGUGAGCAUUAGAAUGUUGAGAUCAGCAUGAAGUUAGCCUGUAUACUGGGCAUACACAUUCUUCUGGAUUUGCUCCUUUUGUGAGCAAUCAAUGAUGAGCUAAAGGCAUUUGCUAACUAGUAGGAAUGAAAUAAGGUUUCAGACAGGAUCUUGGUGGGUGAUGUAGAUUUUAUCUGUCCCAUUUGUCCCAUUUCUCAACUGGAAGUGAGUCUGGCCUUGGUCUGCAUCUGUGCUCUCCCCUUCACAAAAGGCAGGCCCAGAGAGACUCCAGAGAUGGCCCCUGUCUCCUGUGUGUCCUCCGCCGCUGUGUCCACUUGGGCACGUCAAAGGAGGCCUUGAUGUGCAGACGCGAUGGGGCAACGAUGA